rnacentral:rRNA from 1 species
UUUAGAGUUUGAUCCAUGGCUCAGGACGAACGCUGGCGGCGUGCUUAACACAUGCAAGUCGAACGAGGAACGGGUGCUUGCACCUGUAUCCGAGUGGCGGACGGGUGAGUAACACGUGACCAAUCUGGCUCCGAGCGGGGGACAACCCGGGGAAACUUGGGCUAAUACCGCAUACUGCUUCCUGGUCGCAUGGCCGGGAAGUGAAAGCAGGCCUCUGUUUACAGGCUUGUGCUCGGAGGGGAGGUCGCGGCGUAUCAGCUUGUUGGUGAGGUAACGGCUCACCAAGGCUACGACGCGUAGCGGGUCUGAGAGGACGACCCGUCACAUUGGGACUGAGAUACGGCCCAGACUCCUACGGGAGGCAGCAGUGGGGAAUAUUGCGCAAUGGUCGAAAGACUGACGCAGCGACGCCGCGUGUGGGAUGAAGCCUUUCGGGGUGUAAACCACUGUCAGGAGGGAAGAACCCCGUACGUUCGAAUAGGGCGUACGACUGACGUACCUCCAGAGGAGCGCCGCA